rnacentral:lncRNA from 1 species
CCUUGCUCUGAUACUAAUUGAAGGGAAGAAAAAUUAUUUCUCUUCGGAUAGCUCGGGUUGCAUCUAAAAAUUUUUUAAAAAUCUAUAUGAAUAAGGAUUAAAUUCUUACCUGAUUAGCAGUAAAAUUAGAGAUCAAAUCUUUAAUAAUCUAAAAUAAACCUUCAGAGAGGCCUGAAAGUACAGACCCUCUACUUCGCAUGCACGCC